rnacentral:rRNA from 1 species
AGCAGCCGCGGUAAUUCCAGCUCCAAUAGCGUAUAUUAAAGUUGUUGCAGUUAAAAAGCUCGUAGUUGAAUUUCGGAAUCUGUCCGUCGGUCGGGCUUCACUGUCCGUACUGGUGUGGUGGGUUCUUACCUUCUGAAUAACCAGCAUGCCAUUCAUUUGGUGCGCUGGGGAAGCAGGACUAUUACCUUGAAAAAAUUAGAGUGCUCAAAGCAGGCUAGUGCCUGAAUACAUUAGCAUGGAAUAAUAAAAUAGGACGGCAUGGUUCUAUUUUGUUGGUUUCUAGGAUCACCGUAAUGAUUAAUAGGGAUAGUUGGGGGCAUUAGUAUUCAAUUGUCAGAGGUGAAAUUCUUGGAUUUAUUGAAGACUAACUUCUGCGAAAGCAUUUGCCAAGGAUGUUUUCAUUAAUCAAGAACGAAAGUUAGGGGAUCGAAGACGAUCAGAUACCGUCGUAGUCUUAACCAUAAACCUAU